rnacentral:rRNA from 1 species
AGAGUUUGAUCMUGGCUCAGAACGAACGCUGGCGGCACGUUUUAAGCAUGCAAGUCGAAUGGGAAGGGGAGCAAUCCCCUGAGAAUGGCGAACGGGUGAGUAACACGUAGAUGAUCUGCCUUGAGGUUGGGGAUAGCCUGUGGAAACACAGGGUAAUACCGAAUAAGGUUCGAGGGCUUUGGCCCUAGAAAGAAAGGGGCGUAUGCCCCGCCUUGAGAUGAGUCUGCGGCUGAUUAGCUAGUUGGUAGGGUAAAGGCCUACCAAGGCGACGAUCAGUAGCCGGCCUGAGAGGGUGUACGGCCACACYGGGACUGAGACACGGCCCAGACUCCUACGGGAGGCAGCAGCUAAGAAUCUUCCGCAAUGGGGGCAACCCUGACGGAGCGAUGCCGCGUGGAUGACGAAGGUCGAGAGAUUGUAAAGUCCUUUUCUGGAUGAAGAAUAAGCAUCGGAGGAAAUGCCGGUGUGAUGACAUUAGUUCAGGAAUARGCCCCGGCCAAUUACGUGCCAGCAGCCGCGGUAACACGUAAGGGGCGAGCGUUGUUCGGAAUUAUUGGGCGUAAAGGGCGUGCAGGCGGUUUGACAAGUCUGUUGUGAAAGACCGGGGCUUAACUCCGGAGGCGCGGUGGAAACUGUCAGACUAGAGUACUGGAGGGGGAGCUGGAAUUCCUAGUGUAGGGGUGAAAUCUGUUGAUAUUAGGAAGAACACCGGUGGCGAAGGCGAGCUCCUGGCCGAGUACUGACGCUGAGGCGCGAAAGCGUAGGUAGCAAACAGGAUUAGAUACCCUGGUAGUCC